rnacentral:rRNA from 1 species
UACGUAGGGGGCGAGCGUUGUCCGGAAUUAUUGGGCGUAAAGAGCGUGUAGGCUGUUCGGUAAGUCUGCCGUGAAAACCUGAGGCUCAACCUCGGGCGUGCGGUGGAUACUGCCGGGCUAGAGGACGGUAGAGGCGAGUGGAAUUCCCGGUGUAGCGGUGAAAUGCGCAGAUAUCGGGAGGAACACCGGUGGCGAAGGCGGGACUCUGGGCCGAUACUGACGCUGAGGAGCGAAAGCGUGGGGAGCAAACAGG